CAGACAACAAUAUUCACAAGUAGGGAUAUUGCAGAAAUGUUUUGUUGCCUCCAGAAUACUUCUGCACUUGCACACUGGUGUAUGAGAACUCUUUGCUGUGGCAGAGCAGUUCAUGGAGGCCCAGAGAGGAGACACACAGGCCGUGCUCCUUGAUACAGUUCCCAACACCUCUGCUUGCUCGAUCACUCAGAUUUCUUUAGUUGUAUUAUACCACCUGGCAUGGAAAGAAAAGGAAUUGUUGACUGAAAACUGCUGUCUGCUAGAGAAACUUCUUGCAAUGGAGAUGCAAUUUCUAUCAUUGAUAUAAAGAAGAAAAAGAGAUAAAUAUCUCUUUAGAACGAAGCUACAAAACUGUAUUGAGAUACCCCAGA